AACGAACGCUGGCGGCAGGCUUAACACAUGCAAGUCGAACGCCCCGCAAGGGGAGUGGCAGCCGGGUGAGUACCGCGUGGGAACAUACCCUUUUCUACGGAAUAGCUCUGGGAAACUGGAAUUAAUACCGUAUACGCCCUACGGGGGAAAGAUUUAUCGGGGAAGGAUUGGCCCGCGUUGGAUUAGCUAGUUGGUGGGGUAAAGGCCUACCAAGGCGACGAUCCAUAGCUGGUCUGAGAGGAUGAUCAGCCACAUUGGGACUGAGACACGGCCCAAACUCCUACGGGAGGCAGCAGUGGGGAAUAUUGGACAAUGGGCGCAAGCCUGAUCCAGCCAUGCCGCGUGAGUGAUGAAGGCCUUAGGGUUGUAAAGCUCUUUCACCGAUGAAGAUAAUGACGGUAGUCGGAGAAGAAGCCCCGGCUAACUUCGUG
rnacentral:rRNA from 1 species